AAGUAGCAGGGAAAGGAAACUGCACCGACCCUUCGGGAGCUUGUACAGGUGCUGCAUGGCUGUUGUCAGCUCGUGUCGUGGGAGGGUCGGUUAAGUCCCCUAACGAGCCCAACCCUCGCUGUAUGUUACAAGUGUCACACGGGACUGCCGGUCAUAAACCGGAGGAAGGUGGGGAUGAAGUCAAGUCAGCAUGGCCUUUAUGUCCUGGGCUACUCACACUCUACAAUGGGAAGGGACAAUAGGUUGCCAACCCGCGAGGGGGAGCCAAUCCCAGAAAACCGAUCGUAUUCCGUAUUGCACUCUGCAACUCGACUCCAUGAAGUCGGAAUCGCUAGUAAUCACAGAUCGGCAUGCUACGUUGAAGACGUUCCCGGGC
rnacentral:rRNA from 1 species